GACCACUUGAUUUGUGAGCCCGGAAUAGGUAGGUCACAGUACCCAAAUGGCGGAAGCUUUCUCUUAAGUACUAAGCCUUUUUUGGGAAAUAAAGUUCCCUAGGAUGUACAUGGUGUUCACAGUGUUUUCCCAGAAUCCACCCAGUAUUUUAUAGAGGAAAACAGUAAUGAAGAACUGAGAGAUCCGCCUUUUGGAGAAAUAAUACACUACAACAUGGGAAGUCAUAGACCCUCAUCCACCUGAGAGGAACCUAUUAAGGCUCCAGUCAGUCAACCUGGGAGCAAGCAGGAGCGUUUCAGCUUCAUUUUCAUUUUUUUUACACCUGGACCUACAGGAGGUUCAGUUUUAUGCACUACCAAGGUGCUCAUUUUCCGGUAUGCGGUAGCAACCUUUUGAGAAGUCAGCUGGGAUUGUUUGGGAACAAUGAGUGUUUGUGAUAAUAACUUUUUGUAUAUGGUGUUUCAUAUCACAGACAUUUGGUUAAUGUAUUACGUUUAUUAAUUAUUUUUCUCAAGAUUUAGCUUGAAUUUA
rnacentral:lncRNA from 1 species